rnacentral:misc_RNA from 1 species
GAUGAAGAACGUAGCGAAAUGCGAUAAGUAGUGUGAAUUGCAGAAUUCAGUGAAUCAUCGAAUCUUUGAACGCACAUUGCGCCCCUUGGUAUUCCAUGGGGCAUGCCUGUUCGAGCGUCAUUUACACCCUCAAGCUCCGCUUGGUGUUGGGCGUCUGUCCCGCUUCGUGCGCGGACUCGCCCCAAAGGCAUUGGCAGCGGUCCUUGCCAGCUUCUCGCGCAGCACAUUGCGCUUCUCGAGGCUAGCGGAUCGGCGUCCAUCAAGCCCACUUCCACAGUUUGACCUCGGAUCAGGUAGGGAUACCCGCUGAACUUAAGCAUAUCAAUAAGCGGAGGA